GAUGAACGCUGGCGGCGUGCCUAAUACAUGCAAGUCGAGCGAACGGACGAGAAGCUUGCUUUUCUGAUGUUAGCGGCGGACGGGUGAGUAACACGUGGAUAACCUACCUAUAAGACUGGGAUAACUUCGGGAAACCGGAGCUAAUACCGGAUAAUAUUUUGAACCGCAUGGUUCAAAAGUGAAAGACGGUCUUGCUGUCACUUAUAGAUGGAUCCGCGCUGCAUUAGCUAGUUGGUAAGGUAACGGCUUACCAAGGCAACGAUGCAUAACCGACCUGAGAGGGUGAUCGGCCACACUGGAACUGAGACACGGUCCAGACUCCUACGGGAGGCAGCAGUAGGGAAUCUUCCGCAAUGGGCGAAAGCCUGACGGAGCAACGCCGCGUGAGUGAUGAAGGUCCUCGGAUCGUAAAACUCUGUUAUUAGGGAAGAACAUAUGUGUAAGUAACUGUGCACAUCUUGACGGUACCUAAUCAGAAAGCCACGGCUAACUACGUG
rnacentral:rRNA from 1 species